GACGAACGCUGGCGGCGUGCUUAACACAUGCAAGUCGAACGAAAAGAGGGAAAGAGCUUGCUCUUUCCGGAAUUGAGUGGCAAACGGGUGAGUAACACGUAAACAACCUGCCUUCAGGAUGGGGACAACAGACGGAAACGACUGCUAAUACCGAAUAAGUUCCAAGAGCCGCAUGGCCCAUGGAAGAAAAGGUGGCCUCUACCUGUAAGCUAUCGCCUGAAGAGGGGUUUGGGUCUGAUUAGCUGGUUGGAGGGGUAACGGCCCACCAAGGCGACGAUCAGUAGCCGGUCUGAGAGGAUGAACGGCCACACUGGAACUGAGACACGGUCCAGACUCCUACGGGAGGCAGCAGUGGGGAAUCUUCCGCAAUGGGCGAAAGCCUGACGGAGCAACGCCGCGUGAGUGAUGACGGCCUUCGGGUUGUAAAACUCUGUGAUCCGGGACGAAAAGGCAGAGUGCGAAGAACAAACUGCAUUGACGGUACCGGAAAAGCAAGCCACGGCUAACUACGUG
rnacentral:rRNA from 1 species